rnacentral:rRNA from 2 species
AACAUCGACAUUUCGAACGCACAUUGCGGUCCUCGGAUUCUGUUCCCGGACCACUCCUGGCUGAGGGUCGUGUCAAUUUCAAAGACUGCUCGGC